rnacentral:rRNA from 1 species
GUGUCAGCAGCCGCGGUAAUACGGAGGGUGCAAGCGUUGUCCGGAUUUAUUGGGUUUAAAGGGUGCGCAGGCGGGAAAGUAAGUCCGUGGUGAAAGACGAUCGCUUAACGAUUGCAGUGCCAUGGAUACUGUUUUUCUUGAAUAAUGUUGAGGCGGGUGGAAUUGACCGUGUAGCGGUGAAAUGCAUAGAUAUGGUCAAGAACUCCAAUUGCGAAGGCAGCCCGCUGGGCAUUGAUUGACGCUCAGGCACGAGAGUGUGGGGAUCAAACAGGAUUAGAUACCCGGGUAGUCC